AGGUUGGCAGAAGCUGGGAUAAAGUGAUGGUGCUGUGGUCUAAACCGCUGAGCCUCUUGGGCUUGCUGAUCAGAAGGUCGGCGAUUCAAAUCCAUGUGAUGGGAUGAAGUGCUGUCUCUUCUAUAUAUCCAGAAAUGUGCUCGUGAAGGUAAGUGGUUUUGUUUUUGCUUUGGUGAGGCUUUUAUUGAGCGAUGGCUCUUGAUAGUACAGAUUUUAUAAGCAUUUCCCAACACUAGAAAAAAAAUGGCUGCCUAGGUCCUGGGGUGGCAGUGAAUGAGAAAUAAAGUAGAAUCAACACCAUGCCUAAUAGCAGGCAGAUCCAAAAUAAGUGAUGCUCAACAAGAUUCAGCCUUGAAGCGUGAGAUCUAGCCACAGACUGGAAAAACCCACAGCCAUUCUCCAAUGGACCAGAUGGGUACUUCAUGUUUAUAUCUAUACCACUCUUUGGCCAAGGCCCCCAAGGCAGUGAACAGACAAAUACAAAACAGGGGGAAAUGCUAAACCAAAGUGCAAUACAAUCAGUCAAUAAGAACCUUCUUCUUUAGCGAUCUCUUGUAGCCGAGUAAGAUUGUCUUCCAUAAACACAGUUUUAACAAUGAGUCUGUAAGUGACUGUGGAGGCCAAUUCUGGAUCCACACGUCCUUCCACAGUGGGGACAUUGGUUUCCGGGCAGGAGUUGAUCAUGAGGGUUUUCCAAGAGUGCCUCCCUCUUAGCAUGUUUCUCCCUUUUGUCCUGAGUUUGAGUGUCUUCAAAGCCCAUGACACCUUUGGUAAAGGCUGCUCUCCAAUUGGAGUGCUUGCAGGCCAGUGUUUCCCAGUUGUCGGUGUUUAUACUAAUUUUUUUUAGAUUUGCCUUGAGACAGUCUUUAAACCUCGCAGUUAUAAGAAUACAAAACAGCAACAGCAAAGGCGCACCACAAACAACACAUUACACAUUCAUGACUUGAAUAUGUGCUUCCACCACAAACACAAGGGUGUCCAGAAACAACUGGUUUCCAGGGUGAGGCUGGCUGGGUUCACCUUCUGGCACCUCAACAGGUAGCAGUUUUCUAGUCCCAGGCACAACAGCAGGUGCAGUAAAGAGGGGCUGGGGUGGCUGAAGUAGGAAUCUACCUCCAAGCCAGAAAAUGGUCCUAUUACUGCUACUUGCCACAUGUUGGGUGGCUUUGAGCAUGGUCAUUUCCCACUUCUCAUCCCACCCCAUGUAGCAUGUUGCACACAGUGAGCAGUUCAUCUGAACCACCCACCAUGUGCACAACCUGUGAAAUCCCACAUCAUAUGUGGAGAAAACUUGUGCUCAUGGCAAAUAAGGGAGGAUAGUUCAGUCACCAGGUGCACUGGGCAGUUCAGCUUAAGGCAGAAAAAGUCAACACUAGUCAAAACAAGUGCAGCCCAGGCUAUUCUGCUUUCCAACUUUGGAAAGGUCCUUGCAGACAUGCUUCCUGACAUCUUGCCACACUAAAAAUGUGCCACAGCAGAACUGGAGACCUUUGACCUGCCUAAAUUGCACCUGCUCAAUAAGCUACAACAGCCGGUCCACCAUGCAGAGUGGUUGUGUUAGUUGAUCUGCAGAGAUUAUUUCUUCACAUCCUUGGGUGAGCAUGGAUUAGUUUUCUGGACUGUGCCAAGGAAAGUGCUUUUGCAUGGGUUUGGGAGGAGGUGGGAUGGCUGGCCCAUGAAAGAACUGGAAUGAAGGGCACUCUUAAUGGGAUGGUGAGAUUCCAGGUAUUCUUUCCCCUUGAAUCAUAGGGUAUGAAUAGAACCACAGAACUGUAGAGUUGGAAGGGGACCAUGAGGACUGAAGAAGUAGCUAGAGCUAGAGAAAGAGAGCAGUACAAGCAGAAUUCAAGACACACAAAAUACACACUUUAAAGGAAACACUGAAGACACUCACAGAUACUUAAAGCAUAUUUAGGAUGCUUUUCCUAAAUGAAGACAUCAUUUCCUCCCACCAUGUAGGAAAAAUAUAAUAUUUUAUUUAUUUAAAAACUACAUUUUGAAUGUCUCCCAGGGAACUAUUGUUACUGGAAGUUAAGAAGGUGGAACUGAGGAGGUCACAUGGGUGUGGUCAAAGGCGUGGUCACAAAAACACUGCUGUUGUAUAAGCACUUAGUGCCUAACUAAACCGAAAAGUGUCUAACCUUGGCUUAGAAGCAGUCCCUCCUGUCACAGUUUGUCGUGUGACAGGUAAUGUCACAAUAGCCACACAUUACUCAGAAGUAAGGUAAAGGUGAAGGGACCCCUGACCAUUAGGUCCAGUCGUGGCCGAUCCUGGGGUUGCGGUGCUCUUCUUGCUUUAUUGGCCAGGGGAGCCGGCGUACAGCUUCCGGGUCAUGUGGCCAGCAUGACUAAGCCGCUUCUGGCGAACCAGAGCAGCGCACAGAAACGCCAUUUACCUUCCCGCCGGAGCGGUACCUAUUUAUCUACUUUUACUUUGAUGUGCUUUCGAACUGCUAGGUGGGCAGGAGCAGGGACCAAGCAACGGGAGCUCACUCCGUCGUGGGGAUUUGAACCACCGACUUUCUGAUCAGCAAGCCCUAGGCUCUGUGGUUUAACCCACAGCGCCAUGUCUAACCUUGGCUUAGAAGCAGUCCCUCCUGUCACAGUUUGUAGUGUGACAGGUAAUGUCUAAUAGCCACACAUUACUCAGAAGUAAGCCCCACUAAAUUCCUUGGGGAUGGUCCCCAGAUGGGAGUGGAGCCUAAAAGGUACCACACAGAACUUGUACGCACAAUAGCUUCAUGCAUAUGUUGUGUGGAGGCUGGUUCAUGAGGGCUGCUCUGCCAACCUCAGUCAGUCCUCAGUCAGAUCCAACCUGCCAGUUUUGCUACUUCUUCCAGGCCAGUGGCAACAUCCUGCUCUUUAGGCUCUGUGUUGUCCUUGUGAAAUUCACCAGAGAGGAGGGAGAUGGGGACAGAAUGAGAACGAGUUGGCUCUGCCUAUCAUUGUCUCUGGUUCUGCUACCCUCCGUCUCCCUACUUUCCACUCUACCAAUCCCGCCACUGGCUUUGAGUCCAGACCAGAGCUUCUUGGCCAUAUGCCUCAGAGCUGCACCCAUAGGAGGACUCUGGGUCAAUAGACACUGCCUGAAUCACAUCUCCUGUCUUGGUACCUGUGGAAUUCCAACAGCACCAAUGCUCUUUUGUUGUUGUUACAGAACAUUAAUAGUCAAAUUAACAUUGUAUGGACUUCCUCAAGCUUUCCUUUUAAUAUCCAUGUACCUAAAGCAUUGGCCAAAUCUUGAAGGUUUUCUGUUUUGUUUGUUGGAUGCAGCUAUUUCCUUCUUCACAAACGUUGCCCUUCUGUCUUCAGGUCAAAGGGAUCAUGGGAAAUGAGAAUGCCACAUCAUGGACAGAGUUUCUUCUUGUGGGCCUCGUGCAUCUGAGGACACCCAACGUCUUCUUUGGUGCAAUUCUUCUCAUGGUUUUUGUUGCUUUGCUGGGAAAUGGUCUCCUCCUGAUCCUAAUCCAAAGAGACUCCUCCCUUCACGCCCCAAUGUAUUUUUUCCUCAGCCAACUGGCCUGCAUAGAUCUGGGCCAAAUCCUCGUUAUUGUCCCUAAAAUGUCUGCGAACUUUUUAGCCCACAGAAACACCAUCUCGCUCGGCGGUUGUGUGGCACAGAUUUUCCUCACGUUGACCGGGGGAGGUGCAGAAUGCCUGGUCCUGGCCGCCAUGUCUUACGACAGGUACGUGGCCAUCUGCAGGCCCUUGCAGUACCCCAUCCUCAUGCGGAGAACAACCUGCCUCAUGUUGACGGCUGGGAUCUGGUCUUUGUCAACGCUUUCCAUCAUGCCCAUUGCGAUCUUUGUCCAGUCUCUGCCUUACUGUGGGUCAAAUGUGAUUGAGCAUUAUGUUUGUGAUUUCCCAGCUUUACUGAAGUUGUCCUGUGCCGACACCUCUGCCUUUGAAAAACUGGUGUAUUUUGAUGACGUGGUCAUACUUCUCCUCCCUAUCUCAGUCAUCGCUGCCUCUUACAUCACCAUCCUUGUGCAAGUGCUGGGCAUGCGCUCAGUCAAAGGAAGACACAAGGCCUUAGGUACUUGCAUGUCCCACCUGUGUGUGGUGGGACUCUUCUAUGGGGCAGCUGCACUGACAUACGCCGUCCCAGUAUCCUCCUAUUCUGCACAAAGGGCCAUGAUCUACUCAAUGUGCACUACCAUCAUCCCCCCAAUGCUGAAUCCUUUUAUAUACAGCCUGCGCAACAGGGAUGUUCUAGCAGCCCUAAGGAAACUCUUUCUGAAUCAUGCCCCUCAUAAGUAAUUUCUAGAGCCGAAACGCCAUUUCGCAUAAGUUUGUAAUGUUCCUGGGUCAAACAGCAGCCACUGAGAAUGAGGAACAGUUUAAUAAAAAGAGCUGUAUUCAGAGCUGCCUCUUAGACCCUCUGUCUUCUGGGACGUGAGGCUGGUUUAGUAAACAAGUUUCCAUGCACUGGCAGUAAAGGUAAAGAAGAAGAAAAGGUUCCAAAUUAUUUAAAAGGAAAAGAAUUUGGUUUCAUUACAAAAAAGGAUCAUGCAGUCUUUGUGUACAUUGGCUCCCAGUACGUUUCCGAGCACAAUUCAAAGUGUUGGCGCUGACCUUUAAAGCCCUAAAUGGCCUUGGUCCAGUAUAUCUGAAGGAGCGUCUCCACCCCUAUUGUUCAGCCCAGACACAGAGGUCCUGCACUGAGGGCCUUCUGGCGGUUCCCUCACAUGUCAAAGAGACAAACAACUACCUGACAUUUAGAAGACAUCUGUAGGCAGCCCUGUUCAGGGAAGUUUUUAAUGUGUGACACUUUAAUGUAUUUUUAAUCUUUGUUGGAAGCUGGGGAGCGGCUGGGGAAACCCAGCCAGAUGGGCGGGGUACAAAUAAUAAAUUCUUAUUCUUAUUCUUAUUCUUCUUAUUGCAUCCUAAAAUUGCUUUCAAUAUCUGCAAGUACCUUCAAUGUUUUCUUUAAGGGGUGUGUGUGUGUGUGUGUGUUGCCAAUGAGCAAGCAGGCAGUGACAGCUUCUCCUCCUCCUCCUCAUCUCUGUUAUAGUUCGAGUGGUCAUCCCUUCUGGAGUGGCAGAGCAAGAGGAAGGUGAGCAAGCAGUUUGCAGACAUGAACAGGAGGCUGCUUGCUUGUUCCACAUUUCACAGUCGGCUCAGUUUUACAAAACUCAAAGGAAAAGCUCGUUCACAAUUUAUAUGGAUAGAUAAAGGGAGAAUAAUUUGAAUAACUGGGGACAUGCUGUAGUUAAGCAAAAGUCUAAGCUGGAAUUGAGACAUGCACAGCUGGCGAAAAUUCAGAAAGAUGGGAAAUGAAUAGAAAUUAGGAAAAGGUAUGUUAUUGUGAACAGCAAAGGAAGGAGAGAAAAGAAACAUCUGGAAGGGGGAUGGG
rnacentral:lncRNA from 1 species